GGCUCUCUGUGGCCGACAGAUUGGCUGAACAGGAAUCAUGGGAGCAGGCAGAAGGUAAUUGCACCUGUGACCACACAGGUGCCUGUGCAGCCGCUGCGCCUUGAUUGGUUAAUUAGCGUGUUGUCAAUCAGCCUCCUGCGGCAGCUCAGCCUCAGGCAGGAGAGAGUUCCCCGCGAAGCCUGGAAACUGCAGCUCGACUCUGCUUCCAUUAAAAUUCAUCCUCGCUGAACAGAACCGCGGCCCAAACUCCCAGAGCGGCUGUGGAUCCGGAGGAUGAGGAGGGGGUUCACACGGUGGAGACGCCCUCAACCCUUGAAGGCAGCAGCAUCACAGAGGUGCCUUCAAACUGGACACCUGGACCUCCUGGUUCAGAAUGAAGAUUCCCAAAGCAAAGCACAAAGACCUGAUCUCAUCUCCAGCUGCUGCUAAAAUGUUCUAGGGGCUUUGGCAGCGUUAAUGGCGUGUGCAGAGGAAAUGCGUUUAUUUAUGAGCUGGACACUGUUAAUUACCAGCCUACACGCUUAAUUAUCUCCAACUUUAAAGUGAUUUUAACCUCUAGAGACCCAGAGAGUCCGUGCGGCAGAGCAAGACGACGAGCUCAGCGUGGCUAAAAUAUCCACCGCUAAUUAGACGAUAACGAUGAGUCGUCAGCAAAAGAUGAACAAGUAUUUAUAAGAUGCACAAGUGUGAAAACGUGACUUCUGCACUUCUGGCAGAUGAGCAGCAGCUACAGAUUGAAUCUGAAUUAGUUGUUCCAACAUUCCUCAGACGCAGCAAUGAUCAUCCUGAAGAAUGACUCUUCAUGUCGAGGACAAGGCCUUUAAAAAGCACCAGAUUUCAGCAAUUUGCUUUAACGUAUGUUUUCAAACUAAUGUGAACAUACUGUCGAUUAAGGCUAGAACAGAUAAUUCUGACAAUUUCAAUUCUAUACUAUGUUUAGGAGGUUGGUUAAUAACCACAUAAUAAAUACUAGUUAUCAUUUAAUAAAAUCCUUUUACAUCUUUUCGUUUUAUAAGGAGUAAAUUAGAGACAAAUUGUCUGAGCAUGUGUUCAGUUCCACGUCCUGCUUCUCUUCUUAGCUGUUUCUUUCUGAUUCUCCUGUCAGCUUUAAAAAUGCUAGAAAGCCCCACGUGCUAAAACUUGAAUUUUAAUGAGUUAGUAAAAUACGGCUUCUUUUCUUACUCAUUCAGUCUAUGGCUGUAAAAGGCGCUGAUCAGUGUUUCAGACAGAACGACUGCGGCACCUUGUGGCCACACAACGAAAUUCAUACCAACUUUAAAAUUUGUAUCUGAAGUUUUUCUUUUAGGUACUUGACAUUGCGUGUGUGUGUGUGUGUGUGUGCGUAUAUAUGAAUAAACUAAAACACUGACAAAAACUAGGACUCAUUCAUCAGUGAUUCAGUAACAUAUUUUAAUUUUCAGUGUUUUAGUAUAAAAAAUCCCACCGGCCUGCUGUUAGCUGGUUUCCGCUUCGUUGGCUAUAACUGUGGUUUUUCCCAGAGAAUCAGCUAAAGUACCAAAUCUAUUUACACACAACAUCCACAUCCAGAAGGACCAAAGAAAAUAGGAAGUCUACCCAUCGCUACCCUGGCAGAAUAAAACAUCACACACUAUCACUUCUCAGACUUAAUGCUAUUAAUUCAAAAAAUAAAAAACAAAACUCUCAAAAACAACAGAAGAGGAGAAGGGGCCUCUACAGCUCCUAGUGUGCCCAUAGUAUUUUCUUACAAUGCUCUCUCUAUAAAGUAAUGCAUAUACAUUUCUGCUUUACAAUAAAUUAGUACAGGCACAUUCUCUUCUCUCCUACAGCUGACUGUAGCCCAGUUCAGGUGGGAAAGAUGAUUUUGUGACGUUUUACAGAAAAAUUUACGUCAUUACAGCACACAAACAAAAGAAGGCCGAAAACCAGCAAAACACAAACAUUAAAAAAAAAAAAAAAAAAAGGAAGAA